AGCAGCCGCGGUAAUUCCAGCUCCAAUAGCGUAUAUUAAAGUUGUUGCAGUUAAAAAGCUCGUAGUUGAAUUUCGGGAUUAGUAAGUUGGUCGUGCCUCUGGUAUGUACUGGCUUUACUGAUUCCUCCUUCUUGAAGAACUGUAAUGUCAUUAAUUUGGUGUUGCAGGGAAACAGGACUGUUACUUUGAAAAAAUUAGAGUGUUUAAAGCAGGCUAACGCUUGAAUACAUUAGCAUGGAAUAAUGAAAUAGGACGUUUGAUCCUAUUUUGUUGGUUUCUAGGAUUGACGUAAUGAUUAAUAGGGAUAGUUGGGGGCAUUAGUAUUCAAUUGUCAGAGGUGAAAUUCUUGGAUUUAUUGAAGACUAACUACUGCGAAAGCAUUUGCCAAGGAUGUUUUCAUUAAUCAAGAACGAAAGUUAGGGGAUCGAAGACGAUCAGAUACCGUCGUAGUCUUAACCAUAAACUAUGCCGACUAGGGAAAGGAUGAUGUUAAUUUUUUAAUGACUCA
rnacentral:rRNA from 1 species